CUCAUUACUAGAAUGCAGUGAUUGAAAGGUCUAGCUUGUUCAAAGGAAAACAUGAUAAAGGAAAACAAGAAGAGUUGCACUGUAUGUGAAGGAAGCAUACAUCUGUGAAGAGAUCCAUGAUUUGGAGCAUGACAUGCCGUCUGGAGCAUGACAUGCCGCUGGAUAGCAUUUUGUGUUUCCCCUUUAGGGAACAGUUUCCAUACCGGCCUACUUGUUAAAGAAUUGAAUGGUAUCUGCCAAGAAUGCCUGCAAAUUCCAGAACACUCGGGGAGAUGUUUUCAGGGACAGACUCAAGUACUCACAGCUGUAACAAUAUGACUGAAGGUCAAUGCUGGUUUCAAGAAGAAUAAGAAACCACUGUGAAUUUCCCCCCAUUUCUUCUCUAAACCAGAAGGGAGAAACUUCUCAAGACUCCAGAUUUUUGCCACUGGUUGAUAUUUAUUCUUCAAAAUAUGAUCCACCUGUCAG